GGGAUGGCGGGUGCUAUACAUGCAGUCGAGCGGACCGACGGGAGCUUGCUCCCUUAGGUCAGCGGCGGACGGGUGAGUAACACGUGGGUAACCUGCCUGUAAGACUGGGAUAACUCCGGGAAACCGGGGCUAAUACCGGAUGCUUGAUUGAACCGCAUGGUUCAAUCAUAAAAGGUGGCUUUUAGCUACCACUUACAGAUGGACCCGCGGCGCAAUAGCUAGUUGGUGAGGUAACGGCUCACCAAGGCGACCAUUCGUAGCCCACCUGAGAGGGUGAUCGGCCACACUGGGACUGAGACACGGCCCAGACUCCUACGGGAGGCAGCAGUAGGGAAUCUUCCGCAAUGGACGAAAGUCUGACGGAGCAACGCCCCGUGAGUGAUGAAGGUUUUCGGAUCGUAAAACUCUGUUGUUAGGGAAGAACAAGUACCGUUCGAAUAGGGCGGUACCUUGACGGUACCUAACCAGAAAGCCACGGCUAAYUACGUGCCAGCAGCCGCGGUAAUACGUAGGUGGCAAGCGUUGUCCGGAAUUAUUGGGCGUAAAGCGCGCGCAGGCGGUUUCUUAAGUCUGAUGUGAAAGCCCCCGGCUCAACCGGGGAGGGUCAUUGGAAACUGGGGAACUUGAGUGCAGAAGAAGAGAGUGGAAUUCCACGUGUAGCGGUGAAAUGCGUAGAGAUGUGGAGGAACACCAGUGGCGAARGCGACUCUCUGGUCUGUAACUGACGCUGAGGCGCGAAAGCGUGGGGGAGCGAACAGGAUUAGAUACCCCUGGUAGUCCACGCCGUAAACGAUGAGUGCUAAGUGGUUAGAAGGGUUUCCGCCCCUUUAGUGCUGCAGCAAACGCAUUAAGCACUCCGCCUGGGGGAGUACGGUCGCAAGACUGAAACUCAAAGGGAAUUGACGGGGGGCCCGCACAAGCGGUGGAAGCAUGGUGGUUUAAUUCGAAGCAACGCGGAAGAACCUUUACCAGGUCUUGACAUCCUCCUGACAACCCUAGAGAUAGGGCUUCCCCUUCGGGGGCAGAGUGACAGGUGGUGCAUGGUUGUCGUCAGCUCGUGUCGUGAGAUGUUGGGUUAAGUCCCGCAACGAGCGCAACCCUUGAUCUUAGUUGCCAGCAUUCAGUUGGGCACUCUAAGGUGACUGCCGGUGACAAACCGGAGGAAGGUGGGGAUGACGUCAAAUCAUCAUGCCCCUUAUGACCUGGGCUACACACGUGCUACAAUGGGCAGAACAAAGGGCAGCGAAGCCGCGAGGCUAAGCCAAUCCCACAAAUCUGUUCUCAGUUCGGAUCGCAGUCUGCAACUCGACUGCGUGAAGCUGGAAUCGCUAGUAAUCGCGGAUCAGCAUGCCGCGGUGAAUACGUUCCCGGGCCUUGUACACACCGCCCGUCACACCACGAGAGUUUGUAACACCCGAAGUCGGUGAGGUAACCUUUGGAGCCAGCCGCCGAAGGUGACAGAAAUUUU
rnacentral:rRNA from 1 species